GAUGAACGCUGGCGGCGUGCCUAAUACAUGCAAGUCGAGCGAACAGACGAGGAGCUUGCUCCUCUGACGUUAGCGGCGGACGGGUGAGUAACACGUGGAUAACCUACCUAUAAGACUGGGAUAACUUCGGGAAACCGGAGCUAAUACCGGAUAAUAUAUUGAACCGCAUGGUUCAAUAGUGAAAGACGGUUUUGCUGUCACUUAUAGAUGGAUCCGCGCCGCACUAGCUAGUUGGUAAGGUAACGGCUUACCAAGGCAACGAUGCGUAGCCGACCUGAGAGGGUGAACGGCGACACUGGAGCUGAGACACGGUCCAGAGUCCUACGGGAGGCAGCAGUAGGGAAUCUUCCGCAAUGGGCGGAAGCUUGACGGAGCAACGCCGCGUGAGUGAUGAAGGUCUUCGGAUCGUAAAACUCUGUUAUGAGGGAAGAACAAAUGUGUAAGUAACUAUGCACGUCUUGACGGUACCUAAUCAGAAAGCCACGGCUAACUACGUG
rnacentral:rRNA from 1 species